rnacentral:tRNA from 1 species
GCGGGGAUAGCCAAGCCUGGUCAACGGCGAUAGACUCAAGAUCUAUUCUCGCAGGAGUUCGUCGGUUCAAAUCCGGCUCCCCGCA